rnacentral:lncRNA from 1 species
AUGGCAAAAAAAAGUGCUGACGACUUAAAGCCAGCCAAGCUUCAAUGAGUUUGGGCUUCACAUCAUGAGUUUCAACUUAAAAAGUUAAAUACUUAUUAAUAAUAAACCACUAGAGUCAAACCUGAGUUUGAACUUGAAAAAUUAUUGAUAAUCUUAGUUCAAGCUUUAGACUUAUAACUCUGAAUGAGCCAAGCUCAAGCUCUCAUGUAUUACACGAGUCAUACUAGUAAUUUACAUCCUUAUACAAUAAGUAUUUCAUAAAACAAGAUAUAUGCUUAAUGCCUGUCAUCCGGAGUUUGUUUACUGGAACUUAGUUUGUUUACUCGUAAAUAGAAGGAUAUAAUCGUCAUUAUAUACACACACACAAAUUCAUUCAUUCUCUCUAGUAAAAGGGGUAAAAUAAUGUUUUUACAUAAAUGUUAAAACAAGUGCAAUAAUUUCCCUUUAACUUCAAUACAAAGUACAUACAUAAGAUAUGAAUGCGACGAAUGAAUGCCAAUGGCAUGACCAACCACUUAUGUCUCACAAGUUCGACCCGUAUGAUAUGACGAUGCAAAUUAAUCAAAGUCAAAACAGUUAAAAACUCAUACAAAUGUACUCCAAUGAUAAUGUCUGAAUUAUUUCAUGCAACAAAAAGUUAAAAUUAUCAUUUUCGAAAUAUAGUUUACAAAACUUGUCUGACUCGUUU